rfam:Nicotiana attenuata strain TT chromosome 3, whole genome shotgun sequence.
UGGAAAGAUUAUUGUAUUCGACUGUAUUCACGGCGUGAAAUAGGGGAUUACACUAUUUUUAAAACGGAAAGUGAAUUAAUUAACAUAAUAGAAUCCU